UCUUCGGAUGUGUAUAAAGUGGCGAACGGCUGAGUAACACGUGGGCAACCUGCCCUUCGCACUGGGAUAGCCUCGGGAAACCGAGGUUAAUACCGGAUACUCCAUAUUUGUCGCAUGGCGAAUAUGGGAAAGCUCCGGCGGCAAAGGAUGGGCCCGCGGCCUGUUAGCUAGUUGGUGGGGUAGUGGCCUACCAAGGCAAUGAUGGGUAGCCGGGUUGAGAGACCGACCGGCCAGAUUGGGACUGAGACACGGCCCAGACUCCUACGGGAGGCAGCAGUGGGGAAUCUUGCACAAUGGGCGAAAGCCUGAUGCAGCGACGCCGCGUGCGGGAUGAAGGCCUUCGGGUUGUAAACCGCUUUCAGCAGGGACGAGGCCGCAAGGUGACGGUACCUGCAGAAGAAGCCCCGGCUAACUACGUGCCAGCAGCCGCGGUAAUACGUAGGGGGCAAGCGUUAUCCGGAUUCAUUGGGCGUAAAGCGCGCGUAGGCGGUCUGUUAGGUCAGGAGUUAAAUCCGGGGGCUCAACCCCUAUCCGCUCCUGAUACCGGCAGGCUUGAGUCUGGUAGGGGAAGAUGGAAUUCCAAGUGUAGCGGUGAAAUGCGCAGAUAUUUGGAAGAACACCGGUGGCGAAGGCGGUCUUCUGGGCCAUGACUGACGCUGAGGCGCGAAAGCUAGGGGAGCGAACAGGAUUAGAUACCCUGGUAGUCCUAGCUGUAAACGAUGGACACUAGGUGUGGGGAGAUUAUACUUUCCGUGCCGCAGCUAACGCAUUAAGUGUCCCGCCUGGGGAGUACGGUCGCAAGACUAAAACUCAAAGGAAUUGACG
rnacentral:rRNA from 1 species